rnacentral:tRNA from 1 species
GAGGGUAUAGCUCAGUGGUAGAGCACUGGCUUAGCAUGCACAAGGUCCUGGGUUCAAUCCCCAGUACUUCCA